rnacentral:misc_RNA from 1 species
AUGCAUGGCUAAAAGAUCUUGAAGUAAACUAUCACCGAAAGUCAAUAUUAGGGCUGAAAGUGCAUGCAGAUGCUGAAAACAUGCUCCAACACGGAAAGAAAUAGGGGAAGUUUCACAGCCAGAACAACUUAUCAUUUUUUCUGCACAAAUUAUUGUUUUGAGAAGAUUAUCAUAUAACUCCUCUACAUUCAAAUUUUCCAUUGAUGAUUUGAAUAGAUAUUCCCAUGAGGUGAUAUUCUCUGAUGACUCUUC